rnacentral:rRNA from 1 species
UACGAAGGGGGGCUAGCGUUGCUCGGAAUCACUGGGCGUAAAGCGCACGUAGGCGGCUUUCUAAGUCAGGGGUGAAAUCCUGGAGCUCAACUCCAGAACUGCCUUUGAUACUGGCGGACUAGAGUACGGUAGAGGGUGGCGGAACUCCGGGUGUAGCGGUGAAAUGCGUAGAUAUCCGGAAGAACACCGAUGGCGAAGGCAACCACCUGGGCCUGUACUGACGCUGAGGUACGAAAGCGUGGGGAGCAAACAGG